UAAAAGGUCUUCAAAUGCCUUAAUAUAGUGAUUUAAAAAUAAUUCUCAGUAAAUAAUUAGAGAUAGAAUCCAAUGCACUUUACAUAGAACUGUUAUUUCAUUUUGCUGCUUUUUGUUGAUUAUGUUAUAAAUUAGAUUCAUAUCUGUUCAUUUUGUUUAAUAUAUUUUUUUAAACAAUAUUUACGUCAAGGCUAAAGCCUUCACUCACAUAGUGAGAUUUAUGGUCAUCAGAUAGGAUAUCAGCCAAUAUGCUUAGCUCAUUGGAUCUCUACAAAAUCCUGCUUUAUUUAUAAAGAGUUUGGAUCUUUUGUGUUGCAACACAAUCUUUUCUAUUUUAAUCUCUCUAAGUUGUUCCCCUUAGUCCCCAUAGUAUGCUAAAUGCAGCUGUAUCAGAGAGUAAUGCGUUAAACACAAACCUUUAGAAUUCAACAUGAUGUUUUAUGUGCAAUUGCCAUUACUUAUUUUAUUUCCUUUUAAAUAUACAUUAACAGUUACUACCCCUCAAAUUUAUUAUCCCCAGCUCUUUCAAUUUUAACAUUAUAAGUCUUUAGCUUUGUUUUUUUUCUUUUUGCUUUCCAAAUACCAUACAUUUUGUAUAAUAAUCUUGUAUUAGAGGACAAAAAAACUUUAGUAAAAUAAAAAAAAAAAAAAAAA